rnacentral:sRNA from 1 species
GCCGGAUAUGGUGGCACACACCUGUAAUCCUAGCAACUCAGGAGGCUGAGGCAGGAGAAUCGCAAGCCAGCCUCAGAAACUUUGCAAGAUCCUGUCUCAA